CAACAGGGUUGCCUCAGUAACGGCGAGUGAAGCGGCAAAAGCUCAAAUUUGAAAUCCUUCGGGAAUUGUAUUUUGAAGGUGGGUUUGGUUAGGAAAAGAUACUUUAAGUCCAUUGGAAAAUGGCGCCAUGGAGGGUGAUAGCCCCGUAAAAGUCCCCCUUUUCCUUCUAUCCAUUCCCUCCAAAGAGUCGAGUUGUUUGGGAAUGCAGCUCUAAGUGGGUGGUAAAUUCCAUCUAAAGCUAAAUAUUGGCGAGAGACCGAUAGCGAACAAGUACAGUGAUGGAAAGAUGAAAAGCACUUUGAAAAGAGAGUGAAAAAGUACGUGAAAUUGUUGAAAGGGAAGGGCUUGCAAGCAGACACAACCUCGGUUGGGCCAGCAUCGGAGUGGGGGGAGACAAAAAAGAAAAGGAAUGUAACUCUUUCGAGUAUUAUAGCCUUCUCUCAUAUCUCCACCCCCUUCCGAGGCCUGCGAUUCUUCAAGGAUGCUGGCGUAAUGGUUGCAAGUCGCCCGUCUUGAAACACGGACCA
rnacentral:rRNA from 1 species